rnacentral:lncRNA from 1 species
CGGCUCUGGGUUCGGUUGCAGAUUAUUUACAUCCGUUACCAGGCAGCGAAGCGCCGCAUGACGGUAAAACUCUACCAAAAUAAAGCUUGAAAAGCUGCUCCUUCAGCGGAUUAAUGUUGUUUGCACUGUUAAAAUCUAGAAAGCCGUUGUUUUCAGUUUUGUUCAUUUGUCUUGUUUAUGUCCUGCCUCGAAAGACUAACGGUCUGCUGUUAUUAAGAGAUUUACUUGGAAACCCGUGUAACGUUAACGGAAACAUCAGAUGUGUGUUUAUAAACCAUGUCUGCUGUAGACGAGACGGUCUGUAAACUUCACUCAUUUACGAGUUUAUUACAGUUUCAUCCAGAAGUUCCCGUGAAGGCCUGACUUCUAAUCUGAUAUGAAUUUGGGAAGAUCUCUCAUAUAAAUAAUUGUAGUCAUGGCCAGCAAAAUGUCAUCGCCCAGGUAACUUAGUCUUUCUGUUUUUACUAUCUCGAGAGUAAACACGUACAAUGUGACUGUUUUAAGACUUUUAAAUCUUCUCUCCUGUUAUCUUCAGUGAUGUACGAGAGAAGAUAAGGAAGAAGAGGAGAGAACUGCAGGAGUCUUUAGGAAGAGUCAGAGAUGAUAAACAGGAGCUUCCAGGUGGAGAAGAGGACCCUGGUGAGACACUCAGACGUUCAGUGAUGGCGAAGAGAAUGAAAAAGAAGAAGAAGCUGCUUAAGGAGAUGGCGGUAGAGUCUCCUCCAGAUGAGGAGGAGGUGACAGCAGUGCAGGAGAUGAGAGAGGAGCAGGACAGAGGAGACGAUGUAGAAAGCCCACCAGCGCGCUCACCGAGAGAUCUUCCUCCUCGUCCUGUGAUAAGGCCAGGAUCCAGCCAAUCAGAGACCACCAUGAGACUGCGCAUGACUGAGAAGCUGAGAGCAGCAAAGGUAAAGGUCGUCUGGGGCCAGUGAGAGAAAAACAGAACAUGUAUUUCAU